rnacentral:rRNA from 1 species
CCUACGGGAGGCAGCAGUGGGGAAUAUUGGGCAAUGGGCGCAAGCCUGACCCAGCAACGCCGCGUGAAGGAAGAAGGCUUUCGGGUUGUAAACUUCUUUUAAGGGGGAAGAGCAGAAGACGGUACCCCUUGGAUAAGCCACGGCUAACUACGUGCCAGCAGGCGCGGUAAUACGUAGGUGGCAAGCGGUGUCCGGAUUUAAUGGGUGUAAAGGGCGUGCAGCCGGAGAGACAAGUCAGAUGUGAAAUCCACGGGCUCAACCCGUGAACUGCAUUUGAAACUGUUUCCCUUGAGUGUCGGAGAGGUAAUCGGAAUUCCGUGUGUAGCGGUGAAAUGCGUAGAUAUAAGGAAGAACACCAGUGGCGAAGGCGGAUUACUGGACGAUAACUGACGGUGAGGCGCGAAAGCGUGGGGAGCAAACAGGAUUAGAUACCCGGGUAGUC